GAUGAACGCUGGCGGCGUGCUUAACACAUGCAAGUCGAGCGAAGCAGUUAAGUUGAUUUCUUCGGAUUGAUUCUUAAUUGACUGAGCGGCGGACGGGUGAGUAACGCGUGGGUGACCUGCCCCAUAACGGGGGAUAACAGCUGGAAACGGCUGCUAAUACCGCAUAAGCGCACAGAGCUGCAUGGCGCGGUGUGAAAAACUCCGGUGGUAUGGGAUGGGCCCGCGUCUGAUUAGGCAGUUGGCGGGGUAACGGCCCACCAAACCGACGAUCAGUAGCCGGCCUGAGAGGGCGACCGGCCACAUUGGGACUGAGACACGGCCCAAACUCCUACGGGAGGCAGCAGUGGGGAAUAUUGCACAAUGGGGGAAACCCUGAUGCAGCGACGCCGCGUGAGCGAAGAAGUAUUUCGGUAUGUAAAGCUCUAUCAGCAGGGAAGAUAAUGACGGUACCUGACUAAGAAGCCCCGGCUAACUACGUGCCAGCCGCCGCUGUAA
rnacentral:rRNA from 1 species